rnacentral:tRNA from 1 species
GGUGGCUUGGCUCAGUGGUUAGAGCGUAGGUCUUGUAACCGAAAGGUUGCGGGAUCGAAUCCCGCUAGAGGUUG